UCGAGGAUUCGUCCAAGUGAAGCAGAGGACAGUGGCGGACGGGUGAGUAACGCGUGAGGAACCUGCCUUUCAGAGGGGGACAACAGUUGGAAACGACUGCUAAUACCGCAUAAGCCCACGAUCCGGCAUCGGAUUGAGGGAAAAGGAUUUAUUCGCUCUAGGAUGGACUCGCGUCUGAUUAGCUAGUUGGCGGGGUAACGGCCCACCAAGGCGACGAUCAGUAGCCGGACUGAGAGGUUGAACGGCCACAUUGGGACUGAGAUACGGCCCAGACUCC
rnacentral:rRNA from 1 species